AGGACGAACGCUGGCGGCGUGCCUCAUACAUGCAAGUGGAGCGACGAACCAGGAUUUAUCCUGGGGCAAAGCCGCGAACGGGUGAGUAACACGUGGGUUACCUGCCCCGAUGAUUGGGACAACCCGAGGAAACUCGGGCUAAUACCAAAUGUGUUCUUGGUCGUGAUGACCAAGAAGAAAGGAAGCCUCGGCCUCCGCAUCGGGAUGGGCCCGCGGCCCAUUAGCUAGUUGGUGGGGUAAUGGCCUACCAAGGCGACGAUGGGUAGCUGGUCUGAGAGGACGAUCAGCCACACUGGGACUGAGACACGGCCCAGACUCCUACGGGAGGCAGCAGUGGGGAAUCUUGCACAAUGGGCGAAAGCCUGAUGCAGCAACGCCGCGUGAGGGACGAAGGCUUUCUGAGUUGUAAACCUCUUUCAGCAGGGACGAUUGUGACGGUACCUGCAGAAGAGCCCCGGCAACUACGUGCCAGCAGCCGC
rnacentral:rRNA from 1 species